UACGUAGGGGGGCAAGCGUUGUCCGGAUUUAUUGGGCGUAAAGAGCGUGUAGGCGGCCAGGUAGGUGGGUUGUGAAAACUGGGAGGCUCAACCUUCAGACGUCGACCCAAACCCCCUGGCUAGAGUCCGGAAGAGGAGAGUGGAAUUCCUGGUGUAGCGGUGAAAUGCGCAGAUAUCAGGAAGAACACCAAUGGCGAAGGCAGCUCUUUGGGACGGUACUGACGCUGAGACGCGAAAGCGUGGGGAGCGAACAGG
rnacentral:rRNA from 1 species